rnacentral:rRNA from 1 species
CAGCCGCCGCGGUAAUACGUAGGGCGCAAGCGUUGUCCGGAAUUAUUGGGCGUAAAGAGCUCGUAGGCGGUCUGUCGCGUCUGGUGUGAAAUCCCGAGGCUCAACCUCGGGCUUGCAUCGGGUACGGGCAGACUAGAGUGCGGUAGGGGAGACUGGAAUUCCUGGUGUAGCGGUGGAAUGCGCAGAUAUCAGGAGGAACACCGAUGGCGAAGGCAGGUCUCUGGGCCGCAACUGACGCUGAGGAGCGAAAGCAUGGGGAGCGAACAGGAUUAGAUACCCGCGUAGUCCCUGUCUCUUAUAC